AAGACUAUACUUUGAAGGAUCAUUUCUAUAGUCUGUGACUGGAGAAAUCGUGGACUGAACAGUCCGGUCUCACAACCACGAGGAGGAGCUGUGGCGUUUUCUCCUGAGCGCGAAGCGGGCCGCAAGCUUUGUUUUACACAGCGGUUUGCGGGCAUUGAUGACCGUUCCCUUCUCCCAGUGCGGGAGUUGUGGAGGGAGGAAACGCUGUCUGAGUGGU